UACGAAGGUCCCGAGCGUUAUCCGGAUUUAUUGGGUUUAAAGGGUGCGUAGGUGGCUUUGUAAGUCAGUGGUGAAAGCCCGGAGCUCAACUCCGGAACUGCCAUUGAUACUGCUUAGCUUGAAUCACGUCGAGGUGGAUGGAAUAAUACAUGUAGCGGUGAAAUGCUUAGAUAUGUAUUAGAACACCGAUUGCGAAGGCAGUUCACUAGGCGUGUAUUGACACUGAGGCACGAAAGCGUGGGGAUCAAACAGG
rnacentral:rRNA from 1 species